UGGUUCUCGCAUCGAUGAAGAACGCAGCGAAUUGCGAUACGUAAUAUGACUUGCAGACGUGAAUCAUUGAAUCUUUGAACGCACAUUGCGCCUUAAGGUAUUCCUCAAGGCAUGCGUGAGUGAGCGAUAUUUACCCUCAAACCCCUGGUUUGGUCUUGGCCCGAAAUAUCACCGGCUCUAGAAUAAGUUUUAGAACCAACCUCCUUCCUCACUCUCGUAAGACUACCCGCUGA
rnacentral:misc_RNA from 1 species